GACGAACGCUGGCGGCGUGCUUAACACAUGCAAGUCGAACGGAAAGGCCUGCUUUCCCUUGUGGAUUGCGGGUACUCGAGUGGCGAACGGGUGAGUAACACGUGAGUGAUCUGCCCCCAACUUGGGUAUAAGCCUGGGAAACUGGGUCUAAUUCCCGAUAGGACUGCAGGGUGGUGCCUGUGGUGGAAAACGAUUUUCUAGUGGUUGGGGAUGAGCUCGCGGCCUAUCAGCUUGUUGGUGGGGUAAUGGCCUACCAAGGCGGCGACGGGUAGCCGGCCUGGGAGGGUGGACGGCCACAUUGGGACUGAGAUACGGCCCAGACGCCUACGGGAGGCAGCAGUGGGGAAUAUUGCACAAUGGGCGGAGGCCUGAUGCAGCGACGCCGCGUGGGGGAUGACGGCCUUCGGGUUGUAAACUCCUUUCGACCGCGAGGAAGCCACCUGGUUGGAAGGGUGGUGACGGUAGUGGUAGAAGAAGCACCGGCUAACUACGUG
rnacentral:rRNA from 1 species